rnacentral:rRNA from 1 species
GAUGAACGCUGGCGGCGUGCCUAAUACAUGCAAGUCGAGCGAACGGACGAGAAGCUUGCUUCUCUGAUGUUAGCGGCGGACGGGUGAGUAACACGUGGAUAACCUACCUAUAAGACUGGGAUAACUUCGGGAAACCGGAGCUAAUACCGGAUAAUAUUUUGAACCGCAUGGUUCAAAAGUGAAAGACGGUCUUGCUGUCACUUAUAGAUGGAUCCGCGCUGCAUUAGCUAGUUGGUAAGGUAACGGCUUACCAAGGCAACGAUGCAUAGCCGACCUGAGAGGGUGAGCGGCCACACUGGAACUGAGACGCGGUCCAGAAUCCAACGGGAGGCAGCAGUAGGGAAGCGUCCGCAAUGGGCGAAAGCCUGACGGAGCAAAGCAGCGUGAGUGAUGAAGGUCUUCGGAUCGUAAAACUCUGUUAUUAGGGAAGAACAUAUGUGUAAGUAACUGUGCACAUCUUGAAGGUACCUAAUCAGAAAGCCACAGAUAACGACGUG